AGAGUUUGAUCAUGGCUCAGAACGAACGCUGGCGGCAGGCUUAACACAUGCAAGUCGAACGCGUGUAGCAAUACACGAGUGGCGCACGGGUGAGUAACGCGUGGAUAUCUGCCUUUUGGUUCGGAAUAACCCCGGGAAACUGGGGCUAAUACCGGAUGGUUCCUUCGGGAUAAAGAUUUAUCGCCAAAAGAUGAGUCCGCGUCCGAUUAGCUAGUUGGUGAGGUAAUGGCUCACCAAGGCGACGAUCGGUAGCUGGUCUGAGAGGACGAUCAGCCACACUGGGACUGAGACACGGCCCAGACUCCUACGGGAGGCAGCAGUGGGGAAUAUUGGACAAUGGGGGCAACCCUGAUCCAGCCAUGCCGCGUGAGUGAUGAAGGCCUUCGGGUUGUAAAGCUCUUUUGGCGGGGACGAUGAUGACGGUACCCGCAGAAUAAGCCCCGGCUAACUUCGUGCCAGCAGCCGCGGUAAGACGAAGGGGGCUAGCGUUGUUCGGAAUUACUGGGCGUAAAGCGCGUGUAGGCGGUUAUCCAAGUCGGGUGUGAAAGCCUUGAGCUCAACUCAAGAAAUGCACUCGGUACUGGGUGACUAGAGGACCGGAGAGGAUAGUGGAAUUCCCAGUGUAGUGGUGAAAUACGUAGAGAUUGGGAAGAACACCAGUGGCGAAGGCGGCUAUCUGGACGGUUUCUGACGCUAAGACGCGAAAGCGUGGGGAGCAAACAGGAUUAGAUACCCUAGUAGUCC
rnacentral:rRNA from 1 species